rnacentral:rRNA from 1 species
CUGCUCAAUGCCUUCGGGUAAAUAGCCGCAGUAUUUUGACUGUGCUAAGGUAGCAUAAUCAUUAGUCUUUUAAUUGGAGGCUGGUAUGAAUGGCGUGAUGAGAAACCUUCUGUCUCUUUUAUGAGAAUUGAAUUUCACUUCUAGGUGAAAAGGCCUAGAUGAUUCUGGAGGACGAUCAGACCCUGUAGAGCUUUAAUUAACUCCUAUUUAUAUCUUAGUGGGUGUGAUAUAACUAUUUAGGGUUGAUUUUGGUUGGGGCGACAGAGAGAAUAAAAUAACACUCUUUUUAAAAACCACGUAUUAGUGAAUUAUUGAUCCCUAAGGAGGGAUUAAAAGACUAAGUUACCUCAGGGAUAACAGCGUAAUUCUUUUGGAGAGUUCUUAUCGAUAAAGGAGUUUGCGACCUCGAUGUUGGAUUAAGAGAUCAGUAGGGUGUAGAAGCUCUAUUGGAGAGUCUGUUCGACUCUUAAAUUCUUACGUGAUCUGAGUUCA